UAUCAUUAAGCGGAGCAAACGGGUCCCUGCAUAGCUCCUAAGCUGGUAACUUGGAGGAUCCGUUUCUUUGGUUUUGGCUCUCGUCUAUGUUCCUUGGAACAGGACGUCACAGAGGGUGAGAAUCCCGUGCGAUGAGAUGCCCAAUUCCAUGUAAAGUUCCUUCGACGAGUCGAGUUGUUUGGGAAUGCAGCUCUAAGUGGGUGGUAAAUUCCAUCUAAAGCUAAAUAUUGGCGAGAGACCGAUAGCGAACAAGUACUGUGAAGGAAAGAUGAAAAGAACUUUGAAAAGAGAGUGAAAAAGUACGUGAAAUUGUUGAAAGGGAAGGGCUUGAGGUCAGACUUGGUUUUACCAGGCCAGCAUCAGUUUGGAUGGCAGGAUAAUAGCUUAGGAAUGUGGCACUGCUUCGGUAGUGUGUUAUAGCCUGGGUUGAUACUGCCUGUCUAGACUGAGGACUGCGUCUUUGACUAGGAUGCUGGCAUAAUGACCUUAAGCC
rnacentral:rRNA from 1 species